AGAAGGCAGAGAUUAAAAUAUGUAAAUGUACACAUAUAUAUGUGUGUGUGUGUAUCUGGCUGUGUUUAUGUCCUUGUGUGUAUCUGGCUGUGUUUGUGUCAGUGUGUGUAUCUGGCUGUGUUUGUGUCAGUGUUUGUAUCUGGCUGUGUUUGUCUGUGUGUCAGUGUUUCUGUGUUUAUGUAUACCUGUGUAUGUGUACUUGUGUGUCAGUGUGUAUGUGUACCUGUGUGUGUGUU